GACAAGAUGGGAUGAGAUCAUUAAGGCCAAAGCGACAAAAUGAUCUCCAAGUCUAUCAAGGCCAAAGCGACAAGAUAGAAGAAUUAUUGAGGCCAAAGCGACAAAAUAAUUCUUGGUCCAUUAAGGCCAAAGCGACAGAAUGGACCUUGAUCUAUUAAGGCCAAAGCGACAAAAUAGAUUUCUAAUGUAGGGUACUAGUUAGAGUCGUAGGUAGUGAUUUCGAAAGAGUGUUACAAAAAUAAAAUCUAACUAUUCUAUUUUGUAACUUGUACUAGCAUAGGGACUACAAUUUAGGACUACAAUUCUAGACUUGAACCCUGGUGUAUUAGUCAAGCUCCGGCCAUAGCGACAGAGUGACUCUCGAUCCUUAUCAAGGCCAUAGCGACAAGAUGGGAUAGGAUCAUUGAAGCCAAGGCGACAAAAUGAUCCUUGGUCUAUUAAGGCCAUAGCGACAAAAUAGAUUGAAAACGAGGGUAUCGUUGAUUGUAGUCGAAAAUUUAGAAUAUCGGGCUAGAUUCGUAAAUGAGAGUCCGAUUUAGAUUCUUAAGUCGCACUUUGGACUCAUAAAUCGUAAACUAGACUUGUAAUCGCAAUUUUAGUCACUUUGGACGUAAAUUGGAUUUUGUAACCAUCGCUUAGAUUCGCGGGUCGUAAGCCA
rnacentral:lncRNA from 1 species